ACUGGUCGGUAAUAAAGCUGAUCUUCAAGAGAAGCGGGAAGUUGCUGUCCAGGAUGGCACUGAAUAUGCAGAGAAGAAUGGUAUGUUUUUCAUAGAGACAUCUGCAAAGACAGCAGAUAAUAUAAAUGAACUGUUUGAGGACAUUGUUGACUAUGCCACUAGCAAGCUUCCCCCUGAUGUUCUUGCUGCCUGAAGAUAGUUGUACUUGUAACAAACUCAUAUAGACCUAUUGGAGGGGCUAAAGAUGAUCUUGAAAUAGGAAUUCCGUCCUACAAAAUCCAAGAUUGCAUCUUUUCCAUCAAAGGAAAUUGCAAAAAGACUGCCUCGCCCAUCAGUUAGUUGAAGUAGUCAGAUAGCAGUUCAGUAUGGGGUCUGUAUUUGCUUUUGAUCCUCCUAAACUGUAGUGUAUGGAUUGUGUUUAUGUAUAUUGUGAUUAUUAUUAGAUAUAUCUGUUAUCUGUUAUCAACCUCUAAUAAUGUCAUGUCAUCAUGUAGAUGAUAUAUUUUAGGCUAUAUGAGACCGACAAAUAUGAUUUGUAGGCCUAGUUAAGGCUUAUAUAAUAUCAAGGACCCAUUCAUUUGUUUGCAUAACGUAUUUGGAUGUUGGUGCCUUGUAUAAAUUUUAUUUUGCCUCUUAUGCA